rnacentral:lncRNA from 1 species
CCCAGGGGAAGAGGUGUGUGGUACAGCUACUCUGCUUGCACAGUGAUGUGUGGGAGCUUAAAGAUGGACCUAGCAGAUAGCACUGGCUGGAAUCCAGAUGGAAGUGAGCAUACCCUACUUUGAUCUUUCUGAUGCUGUAAUUGAAUAUUUCUAGAAGACUGCAGUUGCAUCAUAUGUAGCCUGGAAGAAUGACAAUAAAGUACAAUGAACAUUUGAGAGACAUCUUACGGGAAGUUUUCUCAGCCUGUGCCCAAGAUCUCCAGCUACAUCCACCUUGUGGCAUCCUGAAAUAACCUGGAGGUCAGGAACUCAGUGCACAACAUAAUUCAGUAAAGAGACUGAAGAACUUCUAGCAAAAGUGUUCAAGCUAUGGG